AGAGUUUGAUCAUGGCUCAGAAUCAACGCUGGCGGCGCGCUUAACACAUGCAAGUCGCACGAGAAAGUGGAGCAAUCCAUGAGUAAAGUGGCGUACGGGUGAGUAACACGUGGAUUAUCUACCUUUUAGUGGGGAAUACCCCUGGGAAACCGGGGACAAUACCGCAUAAGCUCGUGAGAGGAAAGCCGAAAGGCGCUGAAAGAGGAGUCCGCGGCUGAUUAGCUAGUUGGCGGGGUAAUGGCCCACCAAGGCGAAGAUCGGUAGCCGGCCUGAGAGGGCACACGGCCACACUGGCACUGAAACACGGGCCAGACUCCUACGGGAGGCAGCAGUGGGGAAUCUUGCACAAUGGGGGCAACCCUGAUGCAGCGACGCCGCGUGAGCGAUGAAGCCCUUCGGGGUGUAAAGCUCUUUCGACGGGAACGAUAAUGACGGUACCCGAAGAAGAAGCUGCGGCUAACUACGUGCCAGCAGCCGCGGUAAUACGUAGGCAGCGAGCGUUGUUCGGAAUUAUUGGGCGUAAAGAGUGCGUAGGCGGUGCUCUAAGUCUGUCGUGAAAUCUCCCGGCUUAACUGGGAGGGUGCGGCGGAAACUGGAAUGCUAGAGUGUGGGAGAGGUAAGCGGAAUUCCUGGUGUAGCGGUGAAAUGCGUAGAUAUCAGGAGGAACACCCGUGGUGUAGACAGCUUACUGGACCACGACUGACGCUGAGGCACGAAAGCGUGGGUAGCAAACAGGAUUAGAUACCCUAGUAGUCC
rnacentral:rRNA from 1 species